ACUAGCUGCUUUGGACUUCCAGCUCCCAAAAGGCCCAGAUCCUUAAGGAAACACAACUACCGUGUUAGAUUGUCUUCAGCCCUAAGGACCAUAAAAAUUUUGGCAGGACAUGAAAUAAACUGAAAAGAACAGCAAGAAAGUUUACAAGACAGGCUGAGGAACUCAACUUUAUUGUGCUAGUCUGCCCAGAACCUGAAUGCAAAAUUGGAUGGAUAGAAGAUGCCCUUCUCUUAAGCAGCUAGGAAAGGAGUUUCAGUAGCCUGCUUCUUAUUAAAUCUACAAUUUGGCAAGUCUGGAGACAGAAAAAGAAACAUAAAUGAAAAGUGAAGGGACAGCCCUUAAU